ensembl:snRNA U6 U6 spliceosomal RNA
GUGUUUGCUUCAAUAGCACAUGUACUAAAAUUGGAAUAAUACAGAAAUUAGCAUGGCCCCUACAUAAGGAUGAUAUGAAAAUUCGUGAAAUGGUCCAUAUUUAA